CAGUAGCCGCGGUAAUACGUAGGGUGCGAGCGUUAAUCGGAAUUACUGGGCGUAAAGCGUGCGCAGGCGGUUGUGUAAGACAGGUGUGAAAUCCCCGGGCUUAACCUGGGAACUGCGCUUGUGACUGCACAGCUAGAGUAUGGCAGAGGGGGGUGGAAUUCCACGUGUAGCAGUGAAAUGCGUAGAGAUGUGGAGGAACACCGAUGGCGAAGGCAGCCCCCUGGGCCAAUACUGACGCUCAUGCACGAAAGCGUGGGGAGCAAACAGGAUUAGAUACCCGUGUAGUCCCUGUCUCUUAUAU
rnacentral:rRNA from 1 species